UAGCUGGCUGCUCGGAGAGGAAGGAGGGCAGAGAGAGAGCAGAGGUUGCCUAGCAACUGCAUCAAAGGGUUCACUUGGGGAGGGACGGACGAACUCCACCAAUAGUGAGGAGGAGUGAGGCAAUCCGACAGUAAACAGAUAAAUAUCAGCUCAAAUACAGUAAGAUUGCCAGUUCAUUGACUGGCUGAACAUUUGCUGACAGUUUAUUUCCAUUGUGGUCCAACAAGUCUUGUUGAGUGUUUGACUGUGUGGACACAUCAAAUACAAAAACUCAUGUGGCACUUCUGCCCUCGUCAUAUUUAAUUGUACAGUUAUCUUCUGUUAUUUUGUUUAUCCCAGUGCAUGGUAGGAUAGAGUCCGGAAACAUUGUCAGCAUUCUGUUAUUGCAGAACCGUCCUAACUAAAUACAUUCUUGUGUUAUGAGUCCAGCAAUAAAAUGGCAAAUCCAAGACAAAGGUAAUUUAAAAAAAUGGCAGUAAGGUCUUUAUGACUAUGACAAUGAAGAUCAGGAACAACAUGAUCACAGAAAUACAAUGAUAGAAAGGCUACUCAAGCCAUAUCCAUUAAAAUAGUUAUCAUGCUAGCCUAUGAGACAUGCUGGCAUUGAUGUUAGCAUGUUGAAAAAAUCUAACACCAAUUUUAGCCUGUGGUAAAAGUAACAUUGUUGUUAGUCUUGUGGAGAAGCUAACACUGAUGUUAGCCUAUAGGAGAAGCUAACACUGAUGCUAGCCAGUUGAAGAGGCUUGCACAAAUGGUAAAUCAUUUAAAAAGCUAAAAUUGAUGUUAGCCUUCUGGAGAAGCUAACAUUUAUGUUAACCUGUUGGAGGAGCCAAUAUUGAUGCUAGCUUGUGGGAAAAGCUGGCACUCAUGUUAGACACUUUAAGAAGCUAACAUUUGCAUGUUGGAGAUGCUAACACUGACAAGUGAAGUGAGACAGCUGUUGUUAUGGAUACAGGAAGUCUCACAUACAUUCUAAAUACAGAACCAGGCAUGACAGAACGAGCACCGAUUGAAGAAUCGUGUUUAUAGUUGUGGUUAAGAUUUCAUAAGGCAAGAUCUGAGGUCUGAGACCGGGUAGUAAACAGAAAAUGGUUUCUUUAAUAUGAAGCUAGGAUUUGUCUUGUUUUCAAAAAUUAAGAUAAGGUAAGCUGUAAUAAGGCCUGUGCAAUUCCCACAACCCUGGACAGGAGUUCAAGUUCCCCAGAUUCAUGCAUCUAAUUAUAUCUCAUAUUGUUGCCAUCGGCACUUAUAAUUAUAGGUGAGGAAGGAAACAAAAAUUACCUGCAUGCACUAAUAUAGCUCAUGAUUUGUUGUUUUUGUCGUAUUUUUUUUAUUUAGCCCACACAGAAUGAGAAAUGGGUAAACAGCAAUUAUUCAUUUUUAGCCUAAGUUUCACGUUGGGACUAUUUCUUGACAAACAGCAGCGUAUCCAUCCUCCCGGAGCUUCUGAGCAGCGUCUCUGGCCGCAGCCAACCGGUUCCCAAGAAAACACCAAGAGCAUGACGACAAACACUUUUCAUGUGUCAGCCUUCAUGUGUGAGAGAGCGGGAGAGACAGUAGAAUUGCUGUGAGGAAGUAAACAGAGGUUCUGGCUGCAGAUCAAAUGUCCUUGUGCAUUUCAAAGUCGGCAUCAAUGCAUGACCUGGAUUUCAAGCUUCUCUCUUUCCCGUCCCCGGGGUCUCCAUCCAUUGUCUGUGUGUUUCUGUGUGUGUGUGUGUGUGUGUGUGUGUGUGUGUGUGUGUGUGUGCAGGAGGGAGAUAGACAGAUGAGAAUUGCACUGUAGGGAAGAAGAGUAUCAGUAAACUGGGAACAGACUGGGUGUGAAUGGAAGAGAGGGUAAUGAGAUAGUUGUUUCUCUUCUUCUUUCUGUGUGAAUGCAGAUUCUGAGCUGUACUCUUGUAGGUUUGUGCUGUCUUGUCUUCUUCCAGGUCUCCGUAGCUCAGGUCUAGUUUGACGAUAUCCUCCCAGAUCCAUACUCUUCAUCUCUGUCGACAGUCUAUCUAUCAUUGUGUCACCCAGAUUGUCCAUGCAAUUAUACCAUCUGUCCUGUGAGAGGGAUCCCUCCACUGCUGCUCUUCCUGAGGUGUCUUAAUUAAAGGGUUUCUUGGUGGAGUUUUCUUUUUCCAAACAGCGGGUCGAAGGACAGAGGAUGUCACUCGCUCUUCUUCUUCUACGUCAUUAUACUGUCAUUAUCACGUUUGCCUCAUAACUGCUGUUCUCAUGAGACAUUUGUUGUUUUACUCACAUCUUUAAUUAGCCUAUAUUCUCUUGGUAGAUAUCUGGCUGCUCAGUACAGAACUUCUUUGCAUGAUUUUAAUAUUUGUUUGUUAAUCAAAUGGCUGAUUAAUUGAGACUCAUGUGUAACUGUUUAUGAAACAUGCGCCAUCAGCGUCUUGUGUUUCUGUUGCCUUCGUGUUUAAAUCUGUCAGAUUCUCUCUGGAGCGUGUUUUGCUUUUUUUUUUUUUUCAGUCUCCUCAUAAAUUAUUUCUUUACCACUUUCAAAACAUCACAUUUGUAAUGUUUUCCAUGAGUCAAGAGAAAAGGGAGAAAAAAAAGCCUUGGGAAAGAGGAAGGACGUUUCUUCUUUCAGUAUUCAACCCACCGGUUCCUUUGAAAAUCGGCCUUGAAAAAUAAAUUGAUUCAGGCGAGAAUAUGCCGUGUGUGUGGACAGCAAAGAAAAAGGCAGUGCCAGAAUGUGUAACUUUUUUUUUUUUUUUACAGACCAGACGUGCAGAAGUUCUCCAUCUGUUCAAACACCGUGUUUUAAAAUUUACACAUGGAGAUAACAGAACGUGCCACCGACAUAAGUACAGACUGACCUAUAUGUUUUUGUGCUUUUAGGUAGACCAAGCAAAACGCAGGCGGGGGCGGGGAGAGGCUGUUUACAGCUGCCCUGGAUGAUAAUUAUGCGAAACGUCUGCAAGAUGGUGAGCAGAAAAAAAAAAAAAAACAAUCACAGAAACACUAGCGCACGUGUUACACGGCAGCUGUGGUGGACUUUAACAACGGAAAUAUCUGAGAUGUCUGAGAAGUCUCUCGUAUCAGGGGAAGGACAGUUAUGACCAGAAACACAAAGCAGGACAGGAGAUACUCAGACAGACGUAACAGAAAGGUGAAUUUCACCAGUGGGCUCAAAGUGACCCGUCCUCCAUUGUCACUUCAAAGCGUCCUCCCUCGUCGCAGGUCUGUUUUGGAUCUGUUUUCAGAUUGCGACACUGAGACAAUUUGACCUAAAUUCUGUCUUGUUUACCUCAAACCUGCCCCGUUAAUUAUAGUCAAAACACACCCUGCAGAGCAGAAAACAUGCUGCUCGACAGCAGGGUCAGCAGUCGUUAAACGCUGGCAAAACAAACCAGGAACGUGAGAGAGGAGUUCAGGUGAGGAGGGGAGGAAGUGUUUGAUGACUGCGUGUGAGGGUGUGACAUAAACAAAUCCAAGCCCUGUAUGAAAACAUAUAGGCGGGUUGUGAGGGGUUGAAAGUCAUUACGUCCGCGAACAGGCCCCCCCUUUCUUUCCUUUUGAUCAGCGGGCUCAUUUCCUCGCCUCUCGUCCCCGCUGACCCACUCCCACCGGCCUCGAUGCUGCAGAGCCAGACAGAGCUACAUCUGUGAUUUCAUAUACAGUAACUCACACACACACACACACACACACACCCUGCACACUCCCAACACCAGCAGCUCUGUUAUGCUCAGUCUAUUUCAUGUCAGCAUGCAGGGAUGUUAAUUCUCACUGCUGUCACACUUUUUCCUGCCACAUAAGCGCAGGUCUGUGGAAGCCAAAGAAAGCUUUCACGUGCAGGACUUCCACUCCCACAGAAGAGAAACCUGCCUGUGACAACAUUUACCUCGGGCUGACACCCAAAUUCUUUCAAAAAACACAUCUUUUGGUGUGAGGAUGUGCUGGAAUCAUUUACAUUACCAGGGAACAUUUUCACGGCCAAAUUCCCGAUUGAUUACAGUUUUAUAUGUGUUUUUAUUUCUUUUUAUCGCGUGUCAUUUAUGUCGUUAGGAUGACAGCGACGUCAAAUCUAUAAGGAACGGGUUCUGCUGGUUUCUUGUUAAACAAUGUGACCUCGGAGACGAGACAGGCUGAGGACAGACGGAGGAGACAAGUCAUUCAUUCAACGAUAUGAAGGCCACCAGCUGAGUCACUUGUUACCUGGUUAAUGAUUUAACACUUGCAGACACUCAGAGAGAGAAAACUGUACAAACUUUGAUCAAUACUUCUGAAAAAGGAGGAUUUCAUGGUGCGUCACAGGAAGGCACAAAAUAAGAACGGUGAAUCAUACGGUCUGAGGAGAAGGUAAAAAAAAUAGGAAAGAGCUUCGGUUUGAAAUAUAACAUGUCGAUGUUCAGAUAAAGAUACACCAGUCGUAGAGGGAAUAUUCAGAGACUCUGGUACAAAUGCAUCUGGUUCUGCACUGAAAAACCUAAAAACUAAAAGCAAAAAAAACAACAAAAAACAGUAAAUCCAGUAAAAUAAUCUGAAAAGCUGAAACCAUAACUUGCUAAUUAGUUGGUAAUUUUUGGUCACUUGAGUAUUUUUUUUUCUUGAGUUUAUUUUUUUCUUUAUAUGUUUUCUAUGCAGUAAUCUGAACCUGUAAACAUUAAUAAAUGUAGUGGAGCAAAAAGAAGAAUGUUUCUCUGUAAGCAGAAGUCAAACGUGACAUGAAAACAUGAGAGUCGAGUACAAUGUACCUGGUCACAUACCACCAUUAACAAAUUAUUUUGUGACACACCUUCCUCUCCGCACAAUUCGGGCGAGUUUUAUGAUGGGAGUGAUUUCACCAUGAGAGUCAGAAUGAAUCUUGGCAUCACAUUUACCUUAAACUGGUUCAGUCGCCCCCCUGAGACUGAGAGAAUGAGGUGUAACAGUGCCGUGCACCCAACCCCCACCCUCUUCAUUUAUGUGACCCACUUUGAGUGCCAGACUCAAGGACUGCCUUGAGAUGUGGAUUUGGAAGAUGCUUUUUGUUGCAACUUUGUGUCAGAACUGUUACAUUUUGUGGAUGACGAUCAACCAAUGUCAGCCGAUGUCACCUCUGUUGGUCUGGGACACUUUUGACUCCGGAUCGAUUCUGGAGACCAACCUUCCAGACGUAUGACACAGAGGUGACCUUGUUUCAUCCCUCAAUAACUCCAUUAUGGGCGGUCAUAAAACAUGUCAUCUCACGUUCACAUUAAAUAUUUACGACCUGCUGCAGGAGGUGAAGGUGUUGUUGGUGGAUUUACAAUCGAGGAGGAUGACAUGCUUGUGACUGCAGAACAUAAGUACAGCCAUGUCACCCCACAACACUGAAAACUGGACACUGGACACGCCUGUUUCCUACCAGUGUGCUGAGUCACUUGCAACCCCAGUUUGCACUCUGCUUUGACAAACACAACCUCAAUCUGACCCCAAGGACGCUAAUCUGCUCUCGCUGUGACCUCACACAUAAUCCAGCUGACGACAGGCGGUGAGUCAGAGCCGGUAUCACUUCCUCUCACUCAUCCGACUCUCAGCCGCAGCUGCUCGUCAGGUGGACGUGCGGAAAUGAGUGCGUUGUUGUUAAAAACAGCUUCACGAGCUUUCACGUCGUGUUCAUACUUGCCAACCUUGAGACUCUACACAUGGGGAGGAUGUCGUAUACGGCUACCUCCAUGAGGUGAACUGGAACGUGCUCGUUUUGUCUGAGAAGACGUCUUGAGGCACCGGUCGUCGUCGAUCAGAAAAGCAAUUGUCAAACUCGACACAAUACAUCGGCUAUGUCUAAAUGCUUCAAAUUAAAAACCUGACAUGAGUGUAAACCUGAAGUCAGUGUGUCUUUCUCAUCCUAUGUACACAGCCACGUACACACCAAUAUCUGCUGAGCUGAGGUGACGCAACAGUCGGCUUUUGUCACCGCUAGUUCUUUGUUUGUUGGUUUGGUUUUUCUGAUCCUGCCAUUGGUCGGCAGUUUCAUUUGGGAGACACCUUCCCUUCCACAACCUGCAUGUGAUUAUAUAAAAAAAAAAUUACCAACAGGUCCCACUGAGCUAGCAACCUACAUGACCAUAACGGUAGAGUACCAGCCCUCACCUGGUCGCUAACUGCGUGCCCGAGAAGUUCGCAGGUGCUACCUCUUUCUUUUGUGGGGAGUUUAAAUGCCAGAGCCUCGCUCGCCUCCUCACGUGGAAAUGUUCCGUCAAAACAAGUUCUUCCCAUCACAAGUUUGAAGGACAAGCUAGAGAUUGCUUCUAUGCAAAACUAUUGUAACUCAACGACGCCAAAAUACGAAAAAGUGAAAAGCAAUCACAAGGAUUUUGACCACAUCAGGUGUAACAAUGUUUUUUUUAAAACACAGCUGCCAGAAAAACAGCCCAUCUCCUGCAGGGGCCAGGAGUUGGGUUUGGGUUUUAGGUGAUGAAGUGUUUUGCUCAUCCUUGCUUUGUCCUGACGAUUAGUGCUCCCAGCACUUCUUUGUUCGGGUCUUCUGGUGGUCAUGUAGCUCCAGCUCGCUUCAUAUAGCGCUGCUGUGUUGAGACACAAAACCAGCGCGGCGGAUCAGCGGCUAACCGCUGCUGUUUUCACUGACCGACCGCGACUAAAACAAAGCAGCCGCGGACAAAAGAAACACAAUGAAGGUAGGCCUGAAACCCCGAGAGAACACAAGAACGAGGGGCGAAGGGCACAGACACACACGCACACUUACAGUGCACGUGUGAAGGCAAAGAUGUGCGCACACCCAUCCCACGUGCACUCACACGUUUACAUGCAGAAGCGAGCGAAAAUGAGCCACAGAGAGUCAAGCAAACACUUUCAUUCGCCUCUAAAGUGUGUGUGUGUGUGUAUGUGUGUGUGUCGGGGCCCCACAUUGUCCGGUGAAUGGAAGAACGCAGACAAUGAAAGACUCUCAGGACGGUGCGUAAAGAUGAAUGUGUGUGUGAAAGAAGCAGCUCUGAUGUUCAUCGCCGUGGUACCCGAGGUCAA